rnacentral:rRNA from 1 species
UGGGGAAUCUUGCGCAAUGGGCGGAAGCCUGACGCAGCGACGCCGCCGUGCGGGACGAAGGCCUUCGGUCGUAAACCGCUUUCAGCAGGGACGAGGCCCUCACGGUGACGGUACCUGCAGAAGAAGCCCCGGCUAACUACGUGCC